CCGAUGGCGACCGGCGCACGGGUGAGUAACACGUAUCCAACCUGCCGAUAACUCGGGGAUAGCCUUUCGAAAGAAAGAUUAAUAUCCGAUAGGAUAUCAAGGUCGCAUGAUCUUGAUAUUAAAGAAUUUCGGUUAUCGAUGGGGAUGCGUUCCAUUAGUUAGUUGGCGGGGUAACGGCCCACCAAGACGACGAUGUCUAGGGGUUCUGAGAGGAAGGUCCCCCACACUGGUACUGAGACACGGACCAGACUCCUACGGGAGGCAGCAG
rnacentral:rRNA from 1 species